UGUAUUGAGCUGAGUUUCGAUCUUUAUUAGCAGUUUUCUGGUUGGAAGGACAGAACAUAAAAACCUUUAUUAUAUCAUUAAUUUUUCCAACUUUAGGUGUAACACUUUUCAGAGUACUGUACCAGAGGGCAUGCUGCGGAAGUCAGAUCCAGUACAGUCCAGUUGCUUUCCUCCUUCCGUACCUUACAUGGGCCCAAGGGAUGACUUCCCUCUUGUACUGCAAGGCUUUGUGCACUAAGCCAGCUCUCUGGCCCUGAGCAGCCUCUGCACUGUGAAGUCCGGGUGUCGUGGCUAUUCAGAAACUCACGUUAUUCCUAUUGAAAGAUUAUUAAACUCUCGAUUUGGCUGCAGGGUGAGGUCCUGUAGUUCCAAAUUCCUGAAACUGAA
rnacentral:sRNA from 1 species